GACGAACGCUGGCGGCGUGCUUAACACAUGCAAGUCGAACGGGAUUUAGUAGACAGAAGCCUCGGCUAAAGAUUACUAAUGAGAGUGGCGAACGGGUGAGUAACGCGUGAGCAACCUGCCUAUGACAGUGGGAUAGCCUCGGGAAACCGGGAUUAAUACCGCAUAAAAUCGUAGAAACACAUGUUUCAACGGUCAAAGAUUUAUCGGUCAUAGAUGGGCUCGCGUCUGAUUAGCUAGUUGGUGAGAUAACAGCCCACCAAGGCGACGAUCAGUAGCCGGUAAGAGAGGAUGAACGGCCACAUUGGAACUGAGACACGGUCCAAACUCCUACGGGAGGCAGCAGUGGGGAAUAUUGCACAAUGGGGGAAACCCUGAUGCAGCGACGCCGCGUGAACGAAGAAGGUAUUCGUAUCGUAAAGUUCUGUCCUAUGGGAAGAUAAUGACAGUACCAUAGAAGAAAGCGCCGGCUAAAUACGUG
rnacentral:rRNA from 1 species